rnacentral:rRNA from 1 species
UACGGGGGGGGCAAGCGUUGUUCGGAAUUACUGGGCGUAAAGGGCUCGUAGGCGGCCCUGUAAGUCCGUUGUGAAAGUCAAAGGCUCAACCUUUGAAAGCCGAUGGAUACUGCAGGGCUAGAGUCCGGAAGAGGCGAGUGGAAUUCCUGGUGUAGCGGUGGAAUGCGCAGAUAUCAGGAGGAACACCAAUAGCGAAGGCAGCUCGCUGGGGCGGUACUGACGCUAAGGCGCGAAAGCUAGGGGAGCGAACGGG